UACGAAGGGGGCUAACGUUGUUCGGAUUUACUGGGCGUAAAGCGUACGUAGGCGGAUUAGAAAGUUAGGGGUGAAAUCCCGAGGCUCAACCUCGGAACUGCCUUUAAAACUUCUAAUCUAGAGAUCGGGAGAGGUGUAUGGAACUCCUAGUGUAGAGGUGGAAUUCGUAGAUAUUAGGAAGAACACCAGUGGCGAAGGCGAUACACUGGCCCGAUACUGACGCUGAGGUACGAAAGCGUGGGGAGCAAAC
rnacentral:rRNA from 1 species